UGCGCAGGCGGUGCUGUAAGACAGGCGUGAAAUCCCCGGGCUUAACCUGGGAAUGGCGCUUGUGACUGCAGUGCUGGAGUGCGGCAGAGGGGGAUGGAAUUCCGCGUGUAGCAGUGAAAUGCGUAGAUAUGCGGAGGAACACCGAUGGCGAAGGCAAUCCCCUGGGCCUGCACUGACGCUCAUGCACGAAAGCGUGGGGAGCAAACAGGAUUAGAUACCCGGGUA
rnacentral:rRNA from 1 species